GUGGGGAAUUUUGGACAAUGGGCGCAAGCCUGAUCCAGCAAUGCCGCGUGCAGGAAGAAGGCCUUCGGGUUGUAAACUGCUUUUGUACGGAACGAAACGGUCCUGGUUAAUACCUGGGGCUAAUGACGGUACCGUAAGAAUAAGCACCGGCUAACUACGUGCCAGCAGCCGCGGUAAUACGUAGGGUGCGAGCGUUAAUCGGAAUUACUGGGCGUAAAGCGUGCGCAGGCGGUGCUGUAAGACAGGCGUGAAAUCCCCGGGCUCAACCUGGGAAUUGCGCUUGUGACUGCAGUGCUGGAGUGCGGCAGAGGGGGAUGGAAUUCCGCGUGUAGCAGUGAAAUGCGUAGAUAUGCGGAGGAACACCGAUGGCGAAGGCAAUCCCCUGGGCCUGCACUGACGCUCAUGCACGAAAGCGUGGGGAGCAAACAGGAUUAGAAACCCGUGUAGUCC
rnacentral:rRNA from 1 species